rnacentral:lncRNA from 1 species
CAUAACUCUGCUGAUUUUCAGAGAUGCUCUUGACUUAGUGAGGAAAUCCUGACUGUUUAAGCCCUUCUCUGCCACUUUUUCCAGUCUGGAUAUUCUUGAUCUCUCUGCAUUAUGACAUGUGAGUCACACAACAUCAAUGUCUUCCAUACUUUGAAACUUUGAGAAAUUAAUGGACGAACUAAUUCUGAAGAUUGAUUUGUAUCUCAGCACCUUUAGAACUUUAUGAGCAAUACUUGAAAGGAACCCAGGGUCCUGAGUGAAUGAAUUAAUGAGUGAAUAAAUGAAUGAAUGAAUGAAACAGAGAAGAAAAGGCACCUGGGGGCUCCCCUCCAAAGACUUCAGAGAGACAAAAAGAAGAAAGAGUUAACAGUGAAGGCAAGGAACAAAAGGAAUACAGGAUCUGUGAAUGCAAUGAAAGGCAGCAGAGGAGUAAGAAGUGAGUGGGAAACACUGAAGAAGAUGGGAUGCUCAGGAAGAGGAGGAACAAGGGAUGGUGCAUUGUCUUAUUGAAGACAUGGAUGAAUGAGUAGAUGUUCUGCACUGAUUUGGGUUAGAAAUCAAAGAGGAGAAAGGGUCUGAGGGGAUGUUAUGCAAACUCAGGCCAUGGACUGUGGGUGCAGUGUAUGGGGAGACAACAGAGAGGGUGUCUAUGAGCCAUAGAAGAAAUCUGAUCUAAAACCUUUGCACAUUUUUAUUUCUUCUGUCUUAUUCAGUGUUCAUUAGAAAUAACAACUGUGAAGAAAGCAGAAAUAAAAAAGGUUUUAUUCUCUCGAGGUUAGAAAUU